GGACUACCGGGGUAUCUAAUCCUGUUUGCUCCCCACGCUUUCGCGUCUCAGCGUCAGUUACUGUCCAGGUCGCCGCCUUCGCCACCGGUGUUCCUCCCGAUAUCUACGAAUUUCACCUCUACUUCGGGAAUUCCGCGACCCUCUCCAGCACUCAAGCAAAGCAGUUUCGGGCGCACUUCCUCAGUUGAGCUGAGGGCUUUCACACCCGACUUGCCAAGCCGCCUACACGCGCUUUACGCCCAAUAAUUCCGAACAACGCUUGCACCCUCUGUAUUACCGCGGCGGCUGGCAC
rnacentral:rRNA from 1 species